rnacentral:rRNA from 1 species
UACGUAGGGGGCUAGCGUUGUCCGGAAUCAUUGGGCGUAAAGCGCGUGUAGGCGGUUCGGUAAGUCCGCUGUGAAAGUCGGGGGCUCAACCCUCGAAAGCCGGUGGAUACUGUCGGACUAGAGUGCGGAAGAGGCGAGUGGAAUUCCUGGUGUAGCGGUGAAAUGCGUAGAUAUCGGGAGGAACAUCAGUGGCGAAGGCGGCCUUCUGGUCCAGUACUGGACACUCAAGUGCGAAAGCGUGGG